CUGAAAUGGGUGGUACGCUUAUGACCCUUUGGAUGGGUCAGGAUGGGUUCGACUACUCAUUCCAGA
rnacentral:tRNA from 1 species